UCUAAAGCCGGGCAGUCGGAGCCGGGAAUACGGGGGGUGCAAGCUGUAAGCGGAAUUACUGGGCGUAAAGCGUGCGCAGGCGGCUUAUUAAGUCAGAUGUGAAAUCCCUAGGCUCAACCUAGGAACUGCAUUUGAAACUAAUAAACUAGAGUAUCGUAGAGGGAGGUAGAAUUCCAGGUGUAGCGGUGAAAUGCGUAGAUAUCUGGAGGAAUACCAGUGGCGAAGGCGACCUCCUGGACGAAAACUGACGCUCAAGCACGAAAGCAUGGGGAGCAAACAGGAUUAGAUACGCGAGUAGUC
rnacentral:rRNA from 1 species